ACGUCAGCGAAGGCGACAGCGUGGACAGUGAUGGGUGUGCCCCUGUAGCCACUCGGAACAAGGUCGACGGGCUCCAUGGACGACGGUUGUUUCUUGAAGAGAAGAGAGGAAAUGAACGAGGAAGAGGAGAAGGGAGCACAGAAGCGAGGGGCGAGAAGACAAAGUGCCUUCAUCUUCUUUGAAUCCCAUCGCCCCGUUCGGUCUUACUCGACUCGGAAACAAAGGUUCGAGGAUCUUGAAGAUGGAGGUAUUUGCGCUGGUGUUGGCUUGUGGCUUGAGGGUGGGAGCUGAUGAAAGAGGGCUGGAGCUGAUGGAACCAAUAAUAGGUCCCUGUAUGUCAUCAAGGUCGGACCUUUCCACAAUGCCAAGUGAUUUCUUUUCGAUUCUUACCACACCAUCGCUUUGGUAAGUCGAGUUUACUAAGAGUUUAGUUUAAUGAGACAGUUAGUUAAAUAAUGUCUAAAUGAUUCUACUAUAGUUGAUCUAUCAGUUAGUUAAUGACACAGUUAAUUAGUCGAGAUAAAUGGUACUAAAAAUUGUUCAAUAAUGUUAAUUUCAGUUUUGAAAAUCCUAAUGGUUCUAAACGAUCAAAUAUGAGUCGCAAAUGUGUUUAUCAAAGAGAUUCUUCAAAGUAGCAGUCUGGAUUGAUGCAGAAUGAUAUUUGAGAAAGUUUCUUUGAUGUCCAUGCAACUUCUUAUUAAUGUUCUUCAUUGGGACUCUCACUACCAACCACAAUGAAUCAUAAUUAUGUAGAAGUUUCUCUAAACUAAAGAUCCGGAAGUACACUGUCAAGCUUGGGUAGCUUCUUAGCAUAUACUUCAAGACUGAGUAGCGAUAUUAUCAGACAAAUAGGAUGGAUGGAUCACAGCAACACUCAUCAAUAUGAAAAGAGGCAAAAUCAUCACAAAAACCAUAGUAAGUGAACUCCAUUUCUCAAAAGACACAAAUGCAACCAAUUUAUUUUGCGAUCUCAUUUUUUAUGCAGAUUUACUGAUUAAACUUAUUUUCUUUCAAUUUAAUUUGCCCUUUUUGAGAACCUAUUCUG